UCAAGUUCGAAUUUUUAUUACAUUCCCUUCUUAUGAUUAUUAUUUCCUUCUUAUGAUCCUCGCAGAAAAAACUUAUCGUUUCAUUGAUGCGACUUGAAGUGAAAGCUCGUCCCGACGAAGGCUGCAGUUGAUUGUGACCGUGAAUAUUUCGUGCCUGGAAUUAGCAAAGAGAUGAGUAAAGAGGAUAUGAAACGAGCAAUGAGUAAGAGGAAUUAACGAAUUGUGGGACACACCGUGUCACUACGAUUCAAUGGAAAAACAAAGCGAGUGUGGCCAGUUAAUGAUAAUAAAAAUGAAAGAAUAAAGUGGGCCGUGACACAGAAUUUUCAACCGCGAAUGCGACCAACGUUUCGCAGAUGAUGUAAAACUGCGUCGGCAUAAAAGAACGACAAGGACGUUGAUUAUAUUAUUUUCAAGCCUACGGACAUUACUAUUGAGCAUAUCUCUUCACGGUUAAUUAGCGUAGUCAAUUUGCGGUGUUGUUCAACGAUCGAGAUAUACGUAUUAACAUAUCAUAUCUGGUAAUUUUCCAGAAAGUUCCUAUUACUUGGUAUACCAGUAUAAAGUGCUAUAAGUUCGUCACGUAUCCACUAUAUAAAAAAUCAUCAAGUUAACUACACGCAUAUCGAUAUUCUCGAGACGUUAAUUUACAACUUCCAGAGAGACGAUAAAAACGUUGGAAAAGGUUGCAUCACAAAGUGACUCAUAGUGAUUCACUUUAUAUAUUUCUGUAAUGACUGGUACCAGUCGAUAUAUGAUAACAUCGAUUUUACGUACCUCGGCGAGUUAUAACUUUCGCACGAAGGAACACAGUAUACGAAGAAAGAAAAUUGAUGUAACUGUGGAUACCACGGAUGCAAAAGGGUCACGAGAUCGUGACGUUUUGGUGAAAGGUUCAUGCGUUAAAUUCACGGACGCAUCGAUUAAGAUCUAAGUACCACGGCCACAGAUCUCGAGAGAGAGACCUACGAAAGUUUUGUGGUUUGCAUCUUUCGAAGGUUACAGAGAUGCAAUAUUUACUCUAAGAUGAAGACAGACGUUGUGAAACACGUCGGAAGGAAAAUAACACGACGAUUCUUAGCGCGUCUCCACUUGUUAUUUAGAUUCCUCGGAUGUCUUGGAGAAGAAUUAUCGUUUCGCAAUGUGCUAAUCAUUGACACAAGCAGGAAAACGGAAAAAUUUCGAUCUGAAAAAAGGUAUGAAUUUCUCACUGUAUUCUAAAUAUUCAUAACGACAAUCCUAUUCAUCGAAGGAACCGUUAACUGCUAAGUAAACAGCGAACGUGCCAUUAUAAUGGCUAUCUAAUAAACAGGAACUCGAUUAUACGUAAUACUUAGGAAGGGAUGAGCGUUAAUUAAAAUAACAUUCUUGCACGUCCGUUAAAUGCUUCUAAGCGCUGAAAAUGGCGCAGUAGCCGCUGGUCAACUGCAGGUAAAUGAUAUCAGCAAUAUUAAUAAGUUACCAAUUAGCAUAAAUCUGUAAUUCUGACCCUCUUCUUGGUCUAGUUGUCUGCAUGUCAAUGUAACGUCCGGUUACCUGAGACACAUUUGAUUCUUCCCAAUCAUUAUUUCUCCCUUUGAUUAACGUUUCAAUAUUGCAAUUUGAAAUGAGUAUCACGUAAGACUGCGUUCGGUUAUACCUGUAAUAUUUGCAAAUAUUUGUACAUUAGAAUACUUAGUGGAGUGAGAAUAAUGUUAUCGCUAAGACACUAAUAAGCAAGUCGAGCUAUGCAAAUUCGAAACGUAAAACAGAAAGCGAACGUAACAAGCAAAUAAUACAUACUUUGGAAAUUGUUCUUAGUCUUUGAUAUUUAAACUAGUACUUUGAAGAAAUUUUCAAGGGUCAAAGUAAAAAUAGUCUUCUGCGAUAUUCGUCAAAGCGGCUAUGUACUAUUAGUCUCGUUUCGAGCUGGGAUCAAUGGACGAUGAAACGAAAAAAAUUACUGAUCACUGGGCAUGUCGACGUCGUUGAAAUAACGAGCACGCCAAUAAUAUCUAGUUCGCUGGUGGCUCGUGAAAGAUUAUUUCGUUUACCUUGGAUAGUUGCCUAGAAAAUAAACUGUAUAGUGAAUCGUAUCAAAAUAUGUUGGAAUGUAAUGCAAAUAAGAUCAUGAUAUAUUUCGCAGUAAUAAUCCAAGAUGACCUAUUCCAACGAUGUUUACCUGAAUCAGAUAUGCUAUACGGAAGAUUUGGGAUAUUAAAAAUAUUUAGAAGCGUUUUAUGUCAAACAGAGUCUUAGAGUAAUAUAAUUCUGUGAUUGUGAAACUUUCCUUGAAACAUGUCGAGCAUCUCAAGUCUCUAUAACGGAUGGAAACAAUGAAUAAGAAUAAUCCUACGGACGUCUGGAAGUAUCUGGAUGGCCAUGAUGUUAAAAUGGCCAACACCUAUUACAGAUAUACUACCAGUGCACACGCACUUUAUUACUGUUAUAACAUUACGUUAUACACAUUACAUGAUCAUUCGUCGACAGUUAUGCCUCGCUCGUCAUCGUUCUCUAGUGCUCAAUAAAACUCUUCUCCAUGGAUUAUUGUUACAGGUGACCUUCGAAAUUCUUCUCAUAUAUAUUUGCUCUCUUACGGAUCAGAGUCUUCCUUUCUCGAAGUUACAGGAAUCUAAUUCCUUCGCAACUUUAAUUGUAAAAAUAAUUCUAGCUCGAUGUAACGUUUAACCGAUCGUUUCUCUUUCCCCGAUCAUUCUCCGCUUCGUCAUACUUGUAACAUAAAACAUAAGUUGGAAAGAUAUUGGCUUCGUGAUAGACGAUUCUUGUCGCGAGUUGCACACGUGUUCACGAAUUCUAUGUUCUUGAUGAAUUCUUAUAAAUACUUGAACGAUUGCCAAACUAUUAUUCUACUCCUUUCACGCGCCGUUUCACCUUCAAAAAUACGAUACGCAUCAUCCAUUCAUGGACUCGUAAAAUCGCCCAUCAAACACCGGUAACCGAUGGUAACUAUUUUUAACAAUUUCAUCAAGCCACCAAUGAUUGAAUAUUUUUUUUUAGCUCUAAUCAUGAUGCCUGCUCAAGCGUAUUAGAGAAAAUGUAAUUAGUAUGUAGUAACCAUACAUUAGUAGUAGUAACCAUACAUUGUGUUUUCCAUUGAAUACAUCAUUGAGUAGAAAAUUUUGGAUUUGUGUGGAAUAUUAGGAAGUAGAUUAAACUCAAUCAAUUUGAAAUAAUUAACUUGAUGGAUUCUGUUUCCUAAGGAACUGCGGAGGAAUUUGACGAUAAAGUGUCUUACACCGUAGGAUAGUUAUUGAUCGUAAUCGUUAUCCAAUGCAUUCACUAAUAUAUUCCAUUUGAUCAAGAUCAAUAGAUCAUGCACCAAGGAAAUUAAUCUGCAUGCAAUUACUUGGGCAACACUAUCGAUGAAAUAUUAACACUAUGACCAAUAUUUCCGAUUGACGUCUGGUUUGAGAUAGAUAACACUGAUCGUAAAGUACACUGUAACAGAAGCAUAAAUUUCUUUUAUUAUUGUUCUUCAUUUACUUACGAUGAAUUGUAAAUUCUAUCCAACUCUUUUUUUUUUAUCACGUUCCCCUUUGACAAAAUGACCUACCUUUACUAAGAAAAAAAAACAAGUCCAACGGGAUUGCGAGCAACGCAGUUGUACAAGGGUGCGAUUCGAAGAAAUAACCGUUGAAUCGAUUUUUUGGGAUCAUCCUGGGCAAGAUAAAGCAGAGCAUAACAGCCUUUUCUAAGCUCACCCUUUUCAGCGUUUCCUUUUCAAGCGGAUCCGGCCUUACAACUCUGAGCCGAGUACCAUUUUAUUCUCAACCGUCUUUCGUUUAGCGUAACAAUGAACGUACGCGGUAACUAUCGUAGGAUACUAAGAAGAGUAUUGACUUAAUUACCAGCUGGAAAUUGAUUGAAAAUCACCGGCCAAUAAAUUGUGAAUGAAUAAAUAAAGAAGAAAAUAAUAAAUUAUAUUUUCAACAAGA